AGACGUUCUCAGGGCGGGGUGCAAUUCCCCACCGGCGGUAAAUGCGAGACCACGCAUAAGCCCGCGAGCGCCCGUCCGAUUGCGGCGGGGUCAGCAGAUCCGGUGCGAUUCCGGGGCCGACGGUAUAGUCCGGAUGAGAGAGAACGCAU
rnacentral:ncRNA from 2 species